AGCCACAAUACCGUACCGUAGGCACCGUAGGCAUACCGUAGGUCAUAGAGUAUUGUAGGAAACUGUAUGCCGUAGGUGACUCGCGUGGAACAAGCAGAACGAAAACGACGGAAUGUGAAUAACGUUCUCGUUGGAUGAACAAUUGACACAGUUGUGGGUGAACAACAUGAACACUUCUGCGUUGGUGCACGACGUAAGGGGUGCGCCGCGUUCUGAAGACGUCGAGAAAAAGGGCUUCACCGCGGUGAAACUGGAUAAACGACGUGGCAAUGUGAUCCUCGCCAAGUCUAAUUUCGCAGCCACCACUGCUCAAAUGAGUGCAUCUCUUUUGAGCAAGCCUCGACCAUUAGGCAAGAGGAAGGGGGACUUUCCCACAGCUUACCUGAAGCACUCUUUGAAAACGCCGUUUAGUGUGACCCUUCCCCCAAGUUCAAAGCUUGUCAUUGUACCGACCAAGCGAUAUUAUAAGAGCGUGCCAAAUGAUGACGUGGAUACCACUGUUGCUUCGCAGGACAAUGGUGACCAGCCACCUGAAGAGCAGCGUCUUUUGCAGAAACGAAAAUCUGAGUUGGAACGAGCGACAGUUAAAAUUUCAAGGGCAAGGAGAACGCAUAAGGUCGUCAAACGAAACCUGAGGAAGCUAAACGACUUUCUGUUCACCGAAAAAACUUUUGAGCGCAAUGGUAAGAGAGUAACUGAAAUUUCUUUGUCCCGUUUUGCGCUACAAGUGCUUGAGAAAAAACAACAAGGGACCGAACACAACCACACUGAUGAAGCAACUAGCACACCAGACCAUGAUAUUUUAAAUGACUCUGAAGUGGACAAAAUCGAUCGACUGUUCGUGAUUGAAAGCCAGUAAAUGCAGUGUUGAGCGAGAUUUUCAUCUCUUUUGUUUUUCUGCCUGAAUGACUCAACUUUUAGUAAAUCAAAAGUUGAACUUUUCUACAACUGGCACCCUGGAAUGCCAAAAUGUGUUCUACUUUAUGCAACACAUAUUCUUUUCAUGCCCAUGUCAGUGAGCAUUGGCGCUUGCCUUGUCAAUCGUAAGAAAAGCAGUGCAGCAUUUGGUGAAAAGUAAUUGAAAAUGAAACAUAUAGCACACUCCGUUCACUAGAAAACAAUGUAGCCUUGCAAAAGACAGAUAAAUGUUCAAGCUCGAGCAAAUUUACCUGGCCUCCUUAUCAGACAGCUUGGAAGACUUGUGGAUCAUCUCUCCUACCAUGCAGUGUGGUCUAUACUACGUGUCACAAGAUGCAGUCGGAAAGAAUAACGAAAAGUGCACUUGACAUUUCCAUGAUUCGCUGUUGCAGGGACCCUGAAAUCACUUUGACUGUUGUGUACAAAUUGGGUGCUGUGUUGGCAUUGCAGAACCUUGGGAUAGCUAAGGGGUGAAUUUUGGUGCUGUAUAAACUUAUUUAUUCAUUUCUGAGCAUCUGCAUUGCAUUGAUCUCCUCAUUAUUGCCUGCCUGCAUUGAUUCUGUGCGAAAGAAGUGUCACGUCACUCGGGCCAGUCGUCCGAUUGACUUCCUUUACGACGUGAUUGGAAAUACGUUAGGCCUGCUGUUGCAUUAGAUUUCAUUUAAUCGAAUGUACAUACAUAGUAAUUUGUGCACUUGUAAAAAUAAAGACAUAAACAGAAUAAAUGUUGACUUUGACCUAGUUGCAUUCCAACAGAGAGA
rnacentral:lncRNA from 1 species